GGUUUCACGCGAAAGGAAUGCAUUCCAGUGAAUAGACAGUAGGAAACAAAAACUGUGUUGGUGGUGGUGGCGAUGAAGAUGGAGAAGGAAAUGAUGAAUCACAGUGAAGAUGAAGAUGUCUUCAGUGGAAACCCUAGAUCUUUCCAAUUAGAUAGAAAAUCUUCGUUAGCUGCUAAACUUAAAUCAUCCAUCUCUGAUAGACUCAUCCAACUGAUUGGCGAUCAUAUCGAUGAUGUUCUUGCUAUUUUUCGGUUUUGGCGUUCUUGAGGAUUUCACCUUCGACCGUCAGAUUUUCGGCAGUUAUCUCAUUUUAGGAUGUGGAAUGUGCAAUGGAAGUAUGUAACAAGUGAUAUACCUUAAGAUGACAUCUCAUCUGUGUUAACAUGUAGAUGUUCGGUAAUGUACUUGAGUAUAUCGUGGUUCUUGUUUGUAAUGGAAAGCACCAGCAUCAAGCCAGGAAUGAUUUGGAGGCGUUUCUCGGCGACAAGAGUAGUGAAUUUGUGUCCUGGCUUUGGGAUGUUCUCUUGAGAGCUGUAGAACAAUCACGUGUAUUAACUAGUGACUUGUCGAACUUAAAAGAUGUGGUGGUUAGAGCUGCUUAUAAUGAUGCUGUUGUAGAUAAGGAACAAAGGGAUUUCAGGUUAAAGAAACUUCACGAUCAUGAGAAUGGAAAUACUGAUUACGAGCUGUCCCACGGUGAAAAGUACCGGGUGAGCACCUCUUCACCUGCGCCUCUUUCUUCUGGAGAUGGGAUGUAUGAAGUCUUCCAGCGUACAAAAUCUAAGUUUUGUCGUUCUUGGAGUGACAUAAUUAAGAAGGAAUUGAACAUAAAAUUGCAGAAGAGCGAAGUUCCAGGAGAUAUGGUAUCGGCUGAGGUUAAUCAUCGUGAUAUUGUGAAGCAUGAUUCUUCUAGAGUGGAAGUGUCCUCUGGAAAUUUAUCUGGUGGUCAGAAGAAUGUUAGAUAUGAGGGGCAGAGAAAGAUUGUCAAGAAUAGCCGUGGUGAGCUGUUCCCUGGACGUCGAUCUUCAGUGGAGAGAAAAUUUGGUUCUGCGAGUUCACAAUCUGUGAUGACAGAAGGCCCUAAUUUAAGGCUCCAUCCUAUGUCUGAAGUUCCUGGGAAAAAGCAUUCGUUAUCAGAACAUAACUCCAGGCGACGAGGUAAUGUUUGGGACAGAUUAGGGAAGCCAAAUGACGAUAACACUGUUGGUAAAUGCAAUGGGAUCGAUGUCCAUGGUGCUGAAGUUACAAGGAAAGCAGUGGCACAUGAUGACAGAAACCCUAGUUCAAUGGUAAAAGAUUCCCCAGUUCAUAAUAACUCCGACAGUCUCAUCUCUGAGACUUGCUUUGAACGUAGACAUCUCUGUAACACAAAGCGUGCACCAAAUGAUGCAAAUAAUUCUGGUAGGAAGAGGCAGUUUGGUGAGACUGAUUAUUUCAAUGGCUUCAAGUGGUCGAAAACUGCUGUAUCUAAUAUGGCAUCUAAGUAUCCAGCUGUACCACCCGGCGCAAGAGCUAAUUCAAUGUCUUUGGUAGCUGGGCCUGGCGCUAUUGUAAGUGGCGAGGAUGGAAAUACCAAUCUUAAGUCCGUGGAAACUGAUGUUAAGAUAAAAUUGCAUCCAGUUGAUGUGAGAGGGUCGGAGCUUUGUUCGGAGCAUGGACAGAGGACAGUUGAUGGUCAUAUUACUUUUUUCUCGAAUGGUGGUGCCAUGAAUUCUCAGGGAGAAGGUGAUGACUCGAGAACUGUAUUUGUUACUAAUGUUCAUUUUGCCGCGACUGAUGAAGCCUUGGCUUCGCAUUUUUCCAAGUGUGGUGUGAUAUUCAAAGUAAUCAUACUCAGAGAUGCAAUUACUGGUCAACCGAAAGGCUCUGCUUAUAUUACCUUUGGCGAUGAAGAGUCUGUUGAGAGGGCAGUGGCACGCAGUGGGAGCUCUUUUUGGUCUAGAACUUUACAGGUUAUGAGAAAGUCUGAAUUGGCGGGGGUGGUGAGGCCAACAACGCCACUACAAAUUGCUGGGAGACUAUCGCAGUUAUCUUGGUUUCAGCAGCAGCAGUUUAACAGCAACAAUGUCAACCUUCAGAGACCAUAUCCAGGCUCCCAUCUUCAGUGGCGACGUAAUCAGCAACCAGUAAAUGAAAAGAAUCUCCCUUUUUCUAAUUCUACACAGCCAGCUUCAGGAAAUAUCGCCCAGCAUGAUUUUGUCGAUUCUGCAGAUACUGUCCAGAUGCAUACACAUUCCCUCACUUAUGUCAGAAACACCCAAACCCAGACCUUUGCAGCAGGAUCUGCUAUCUAAUCUGCUGCAACAGCUUAAAUAAGAAUCCGUUAACCCUCCUCACAUUAAUAGUACACAGAUAGCCACCACUAUCACUACUUACUGCCGACGUAGUUGUUGUUUUUAGAGAAACUACGUGAGGUUGCUUAUGAAUCAGUCUAAUUUUCCUACCUUUUGAAGAAUACUAUACAGUAGAACAUCCCCUCCCUCCCACAAUCAGUCUUUCGGCUUUACCUUAGUAGAUGUUCCAUGAAAUCUUUACAACUGGGACAACUUAAUCUCUGAGAUACAACGUAAAUAUUAAUAUGCUAUGGGAGAUGGUUAGAUCUAUCAGCAUAGGCAUUUCCCAUGUUAUAUUGUUUGGGUGCCAAUUUUAGACUGAUAUUAAGAAAUACAAUUGUUUGAUUUUUGGUGUAUGUUUUCAUCGGUUCUUUAGGUUCCUAUUGUUAUCCGGACCUUGUUAUAUUCACCUUAAAAGUCUCCUAUCCGGUGAGAAACAGCCCUGUGAGCCUCACCACGGAGACUAGCAGGGCUCCCAUAGGGCCGUGUCUCCGGGAUUUUCCUCGGGUUUAUCAGGUUGGUAUAGGAAAGCUGGAUCCGAGUUAAUGUGUCCGUUGGUUACUCAAAUUUUUACUCACUUGGAAAGGAAGUUGUUACAUUCAGAAACUCCAAUCGUUAACAAGUCUGUGAACUUGCUGCAUU